rnacentral:rRNA from 1 species
GACGAACGCUGGCGGCGUGCUUAACACAUGCAAGUCGAACGGUGACCCAGGGCUUGCCCUGGUGAUCAGUGGCGAACGGGUGAGUAACACGUGGGCAACCUGCCCCUGACUUCGGGAUAACUCCUCGAAAGAGGAGCUAAUACCGGAUACGACCACUUCGGACAUCCGAUGGUGGUGGAAAGUUUUUCGGUCAGGGAUGGGCCCGCGGCCUAUCAGCUAGUUGGUGGGGUAAUGGCCUACCAAGGCGACGACGGGUAGCCGGCCUGAGAGGGCGACCGGCCACACUGGGACUGAGACACGGCCCAGACUCCUACGGGAGGCAGCAGUGGGGAAUAUUGCGCAAUGGGCGAAAGCCUGACGCAGCGACGCCGCGUGAGGGAUGAAGGCCUCGGUUGUAACCGUCUUCUAGCAGGGACGAAGCGAAAGUGACGGUACCUGCAGAAGAAGCACCGGCUAACUACGUGCCAGCAGCCGCGGUAAU